UACGUAGGGCGCGAGCGUUGUCCGGAUUUAUUGGGCGUAAAGAGCUCGUAGGCGGUUUGUUGCGUCGGCUGUGAAAACCCGGGGCUCAACCCCGGGCCUGCAGCCGAUACCGGCAGACUAGAGUUCGGCAGGGGAGACUGGAAUUCCUGGUGUAGCGGUGAAAUGCGCAGAUAUCAGGAGGAACACCGGUGGCUAAGGCGGGUCUCUGGGCCGAUACUGACGCUGAGGAGCGAAAGCGUGGGGAGCGAACAGG
rnacentral:rRNA from 1 species